UUAAAAAAGGAAAUAAAAUAAUUACAAUAAAUAAUUUCAUUAUGUAUUAUAAGUUUACAAUUUCAAAUCUAUUUAGAAUGUUAAAACCAAAUCAAAUUACAAACUAAAAUAAAGGCAAAAUUAAAUUACAAUAAGAUUUAAACCAAACUAAAUUAAAUUACAAUAAUUUUUAAUUUGUUGCUGUUGUUGCCUCUCUGCCUCUCUGUUUCUGAUGCAGUGUUUGGCUCUAUUGCGUUGCUGCCUUUCUAUUUCAGAUGUAGUUGUCAUUGACCUUUGCUUUGUAACUAACUAGAGAAACAUAAAAACAUUUUUUUUAAGUCAGUCUUGGUACACUUUGUGCAGAACAAAGAGACAAAAUUUUGAGUUUAAAAAAUAAACUAAGGGACAAAUUAAAGCUCAGCAACAGAACAAAUCAAAGCAAAUAAAUCAAAAUCAUGAAUGCAUCAGAGGUGUAGAAAAAAACGCAGAUGAUGAGCAAGGAAAAAAACAUCAAACAGGAAAUAGAUAGAGAAGGACCAAUGCAGACCAGAAAGCAACUAAACAUAUAAAAGACUCUAUAAAUACAUCUUGAAAAAUUUCAAAAAAAAAAGGAGGGAACAAGAGACAGAAAAAUAACUAAAACAAAGAAGGAGAAAGAAAGAAAUUAGAGAGGACAGUAACAAACGGAAAUCAACACACAACAAACGCAAAGGUAUUUUUUUUAGAUAAUAAAUAUGUUGUACAUUUUUUUUUAGUUCAAAAAGGGUUAGAUUUUUUUUUUCAUUUUUGCAAAAUCAAACAUAAUGGGAAAAACGUAGAAGAUAUAAAAUUAAAGAUUUGAACCUGUGACAUGUUGCCGUUGUCAAAACCAUCGACGUUGUGGUCGUUGUGGCCGCUAUCCCCGUUGGCGCAGUGGCCGCCGUUUACACCAAGGUCGGCGUCGGCGUUGUGGCUGUCAUUUCGUUACAGCUUUCUUGUUCCUCUUCUUUUAGUUGAUACAUACAUUCAUAUUUCCUCCUUCUUUCAAAAUAGAGAUUGGAAUAAGGAAAGAGAAGGAUUUUGCUUUGCUGUGAAAGACCCAUGCGGCUGCCCCUCCUUCUAACUAGGGUUUCUUUUUGUUUGUUUUGGACCUCUUUUUUAAGUUAGUUUGGGCCUGGGUUAUGGGUUAAUAACCAAAAUAUAUUCAAACUCAACCCAUUUUCAUUU
rnacentral:lncRNA from 1 species